UCCUGGUCCAUAGAGUUGCCCUUCAGACUCUUCAAAAAACUAGUUCAAAACUUCAAAAAACUGGUUCAGACUCUUCAAAAAACUUCAAAAAACCGCUCGUAUACCUGCUCGACGCUUGCUCACUAUUUCUUCUGAUCGGUAGAGCACAC